UACGAAGGGGGCUAGCGUUGUUCGGAAUUACUGGGCGUAAAGCGCGCGCAGGCGGUUCUCCAAGUCAGUGGUGAAAGCCCGGAGCUCAACUCCGGAACUGCCAUUGAAACUGUUGAACUUGAGGACGAGAGAGGUGAGUGGAAUUCCCAGUGUAGAGGUGAAAUUCGUAGAUAUUGGGAAGAACACCGGUGGCGAAGGCGGCUCACUGGCUCGUAUCUGACGCUCAGGCGCGACAGCGUGGGGAUCAAACAGG
rnacentral:rRNA from 1 species